UGCAGGAUCAAUUAAUUCAGCCUGAGAUGAGAAGAUAAGCAUUGGAGAAGAAGUUUUACACAUUAAAUAAAACAAAUGGAUAUCCAGUUAGAAUAUAAAGUUGCACAAGUCUUAUGUCAGACGUUCUUAACACUAGUUAGAGAGAUACCACAAUGGUUCUACUAGGAAUAUUGCCACCAAUUUGAUAAGCAAGACGUCUUUAAUAUAGUCAAUUACAAAACCGACUCACUUUUAACAGUGAACAAAGAAUAGAAGGAAGCUUAGAAUAGAAAUGCAACCCAUAA
rnacentral:misc_RNA from 1 species